rnacentral:ncRNA from 2 species
GAUUUAUAAAGAAGGGUGGAGAGAUUAGGCUCAUGGAAACCCUGGCAACCUGCUGCAAGGAAAAGGUGCCAAUACCUAACCCGCUCAAAAUGAGUAGGAAAUGAUAAAUU